AUUCACUUUGCCCUGCAUACCAUGGUGCCUGCAUCCAGAGCUCAGAGAUGCAACAGAAGAUGGUGAAAGGCCAGCAGAUAUCAGAAAAGUAGAAAUUUUUUAUAGAACUUCUACUAUCCAUUGGUACGACACGACACGUAUUCAGCACUGCAAGAGCCAGCCCAAGUUGUUUCUGAUGUACCUUCAGACAUCAAAACUGAAAGAUUUUACUUUAAUAACAGAGAGCUUUGGAACCAACUCCUCUCCCUUUGAAUCCAUAACUUGUUCUCACUACACAUGAAGGUUUUCAGUGUAAGUAUAUGAGAUUAUUCAUUUCCCUACAUUCUCCAGCCCCAUUAAAUCUCAACUUUCAUCAUGAUUUUCAAAGACACUUCAAGUCCUUUUCAACAGUUUUGAGAAACUUGCUGGGAGGGAAUGCAUUUCCAAACUAUCUGUUUUCUCAUGAAAACUGAGUUUUGCCUGGAUGCCAGGGUCAGCAGACGUUUUAUAAAUAGGUUUGGACAGAUGACAGGAAAUGAUGUAAGGUAUCAGUCCACUCCACAGAGGGCAACUGCCUGUAGUGCCCAGGAAAGAGGGACUCACACCACUGACUGCUACACAGGAAAAACAACAACAAAAACAACAACAAAAAACCAAAACAACUGCAGAGAAGCAUCACUUACUGCAGAUGGUUUCAGGUUUGUGAAGCACAAGAUCUCUGGCCUCCAUAUUACAGCUCAAGCAAAAAAAAAAAAGUAUUUGCUUGCAACUAUACUACAGUGAAAACCAGGACAAUUAAAUUUUCCUUUGAAGAGGAAAAAUUGAGCAGAAUUGUCUAAACUCGCUUUGUCUUUUACUAAUAAGGAGGAGCUUUCUGCUCCUGACAUGCUCUAAAUGCCAGCAGGCAUUGGAGAUUCUCCAGACUGUGACUGGUGCCAAACACCGGGAUCAUCUUCUUACCCUGGCAUUUACCAUCAGCUUCAGCAAAGUCUUUUCCAAUUCAAACUGCUUUAAAUGGGCUCCAAUUAUAGCUGCUUAGAAGUUAAUCUUUAUCUAUUCAUUUGAUCCCAAUAACUAUCUGCUCCUCUUCGCAAUAUCAGUACAGAUUGGAGAAGCAAUUCACUGUCUCAUUUUGUUUCUGUCAGCCUUCACAAAGGUAAAACUCAACCACUUACUCCCAAAUAAAUGCUUUUGUUGCAAGAGGGGCAAAGUCCACAGCAGAAUUCUCAACAGGUUGAACUUCAGCACGUUAACUGCAGCCUUCCCCCAAGGUGCAGCUCUUCCUAACACCAGCAAGCCCUGCUCACCCCAUUCCUCACCACGCUUUCACACCACCACUGACUGACAGCGCUCUGUGUAACAGCAGGCUACAAGCGCUAGUGAGACACAGUGACCUACCCAGCAGAUGUGCCCGCUGUCUCUCAGUGCUGAGAGAAGCCCGGCUGCAGCGUGCAGAAGAGCUGUCUUUGGAGGAGCACCAAGCACUCACGUGCAUUUGCACACAGCUCCUCUGCCCAGCCACAUCCCCACAACCACCUGCAGUGCCAUCUCAUGCAGAGUCAGCCCCAGGCACACUAGCAUGAGGCCUCUGCUGGUGUUUUUCUUUACCAAAGAGUUAACAUUUGAUCCUUCUGGUGGCCCUGCUUUUAGAAGUGGAGAGUUUCUGCUCAUCGUUUGUUACUUAUCUGUUCCCAUGACAGACAAAACAGCCUAGAAGCGCUCCCUACCUAUGGCAGGAAUACGUAAUACACGACACGUUUCUUAAGCUUCUGUACCGAGUAACUAACUUUACCAAUGCUGUGAAUUUAUAAAACUCUACAGAACUUGAUUUUUUUGCACCGAAAGCAUUGCAUCUGACUGAAUUUUUGUUAUUUUCGAGAUAUACAGUUAUUAUCUCUAUCAGGCAGUAUUGAAACAGAAACGUCCCAAACCUUUCCUGUUAAAGUCUGUGCAAACAGAAACAGAAUCCAUCUGCCUAUAUGUAAAUUCCAGAAAUUAAAGCAAAUCCAGUCGUUAGUGGUGUUCACACAUGGUGUGUGUGCAUGCGAGAAAGAGUCUGAGAGGAUACAGGAGAAGGUGGGCAAGGCUGUCAGCCUCUGUAGAGCUCAAUGAGAAUACCAGGGCAUGAGAUCCAACUGUCCUUAAUGAUCACCAGCAUAAAAAACAGACAAAAAAGCCCUAGAACUGUAAACCUGGACCUCAUUCUUUUCUGCACUUGUAAAGAAAACCUAUAUACACUAUUUGCUUCCUGACCCUACAAGAAAAAGUGUCUACAUGCCUAUUCAUUGAACAGGCUGCUCCACAUAGACAUGUUCUUCUUGUACAGAGCUAAUGCAGACUGCUUCACAGAAAUAUCUCCACAGGACUUUCCAGUGCUGAGAAAUCACUGAGAAACAGCCCAAUCAUAUAACGUACAAUCAUGUUUGGUACAGAGCUGUUAGAACAAAAACUUAUGAGACACCACAUGCACCUAAAGCUGGAUUUUGUGGCAGGGGGGAAAGAUAUUCUGCCCUCAUUCUUUCUGUUUAAUGAAACAUCGGAGAAGCAUUUAAGGCUCAGCUAAAAUCAAUUACUGAUAAGGCUAUUUUAAUAAACAGAAAUAUUGCUAACCCUUAUCUCAAAUUUCUUCUUAUUGUUUAAUCUGGACACUCCCAAAACAAAGGCAUCUGAGAUCAGCCGAAGAAGGAGAGUUUCAACCUUUGGAUCAGCUCUAAUUGCAAUACUUCAUUCUCAUGAUUGCUGCAAUUCAAUAGACCUUGAUGUCAUAAUAGAAAUUACAUGGCUGCUCUUGCUGUCAUCCAGGGCAAUGUAACUGAGCACAUAUGGACACUGUCUAAUGUUCCUGGCAUCUCACAGUGCCACGAGCCAGGUGAAAGCCCAGUCCCUUUUCCCUUGCACCCAUUAUAACAGAAGACAGGUGAACAAGUCCAUUCAUUCUUUUUCAGCUGCAAGAAAAUAUUUGUGACAAGGCCAGGCUACUCAAUGUGACAUUACACUUGGUCACCCAAAGCAAUGAAGUAUAAGGCUUCAGCCACUGAACAGGGGAAAGACUCUUCCUGGUAGUCUGUCUUGAAUGAACAGUCCAGAGGGAUGGACUGCAGCCUACAAACCCCUCAUCUUUUCCUUGUUAUUAAGUUCUCCAAAACAGAUAGCCUCUCUAAGCUUUAAAUUGUCUCAGAAAAGACAUACCCUUUAUGCCAAGGAUGGGUGCAAGUCUCACCCCUUGCCACCAGAGUCCAACCAUCCUGACAGGUCUGGACAAAGAGUAUCCUUUGUGCUGCUCCAAAAUCCUUCUUCAAGGGCAACACCAAGGAAGAGCUGACCCUCAGGUUGGCCUGUUACACACACACUGUCUUCAAAAUGCAGUGCCAUAUUCACUAAAAUGAAAUUGCUGUUUUCUGCCCCAGCCCAGCAAAGGUUUCAGAAUGUCAGCUAUUUAUUUUUUCCUGUCAGACUACCCAGGCUGGUAUUUCCACAGCUGCAUGGACUGUCUAAAUGCUUGAGAAAAGUGAGAUUAUAAUGGUCUGUGAUAAUACUCCUGUUUCAAUAAUUAAGGCAAUUCAUUUACUUGGAGAAAAAAUGAUUCAAGGACUGUAUGUACAAUCUGCGUUCAAAGUACUACCCUGAACCCAGUGCUUAUCAUCCUUGGUCCAAUGAUACUUGUUAGUAAACAAGACAGAUGUAAUCAUUGCUAGGAGUAAUAGUAAAUCAGUGGCAAGGCUUGAACAGGCCAUUGUCAAGUUGGAAAACUUCAGCCAAGCACAUGCAGUAACUGCUGAAAUCAAAUGAAAAAGCAGAGCAGUAAUUGAAACUUUUGAACCUUUUUACACAGAGGAGCAAGAAAAUUUAUCUUCCUGAUUGCUCUAACGUUUCAGAUAGCAGGAGAACAUGGGAAUAUGGCCUUAAUGUCAGCUAGUAAACUUCUGUGACCUUUCAAGGGAGCUAUAUCUGCCAUGACGAUCGUGGUAAUCAGAACAAGCUCUAUCUGCUCUGACACAGGUUGGCUGCAUGAGCAGAUACCUCUUUUUCUCUCCACAAGUGCUCAGCGCUUUGCUUCAUUCAUUGUACAAGACAGACAGUGCUCACCUGAUUAGCAGUAAUUGGAUACCAGGAAAAAUAAAAUCCAUGUACUGCCCUAUGUCUUAUUCAUCACGUCCUGCCCUGGUCUGAGGACAGAAUCACAGGCAAUUUUUUCACUUUACAGGGCUUAAGGGUUCUGCAAAUAUCCAUUAAUUUUAUUUCUCCAAUCUGCAAAGCUACCAGGAUAUCAUCAUUUUCACUAUUUUGAACAGAGUCACAAAGAUCAAUGUCACAGUAACCGUUAAUAGCAGCCAAUUUGAAAUUCCUAGAACUUUCGAAGCAAUCGCUACUUUAUUCUACCGUUCAGGUUUUCAAAGUGAUUGGUACUUCUUUCACCAACUGCAGACCCACAACGUUCUGAAUUUUGAGCAUUUGCAGAUAAUUCGAGGCUUUGUCCAGGUUGGACUUCCCCCAGCACCAGAACAUCCCCAUGUGGCUGUGUUUGCACACCCUCCACACCAGCCUCUCCACCCCCUUUCAGCUGCUCCACUGAUUUCCCAUUCAAUUCCCAGUUGCUAUUUGCUUUUCAAAUUCAAGUAAGAUUUGUUACGUUUUUUACAAAGUUUUCUCUCCAACCUAUUCCUUAAAAAUUCCCAACUCAUUCAGUACUCAUUUCUUCUGCAUUUGAGCCAAGCAGCUGCUUCCAGCUUCUUACCCGCAGGAGCCUUUGAAAGCAGCACAUGUGAGGAAUGGUCCACUUACAUCAUAUUAAGGUGCCCCAACCCAACAAAACCUGCAGCAGCCCACAGAUACAGUCACAGGAGAAUUCCUAUUUAGAAGUUUUUUCAGCUGGAACACACCCAGUACUGACAGACUGCUUGGGGAAUUUGUCUGCUACCACAUCUAUCCAGCCUACCAAACCUGAGGUCUCCAGUUCAUAUACAUUAAGAGAUUUUCCACAAGGAUAAAACACAGCUUUGAUUCCCAAUUUCAAGAAUGUCCUCCUGUUCUGGAACAGGCAAGGGACUUCUAAAGACUUUGUUCACCUGCUUUAAAAGUAGGGCAAAAUCGAUGCUUUCCUCCAGCUCAGUUCUUGUUAAAUGGCAAAGCAGUUGAGCUAAAUAUUCCAGCAAAGUUCAGAUUCGGUUGCGUACCUGGCACAAAACCUUUCUAUCCAAAGACUUACUUAACAGUCAGUCAAGUUGCAUCUAUCCAAAAAGAGGCAUGUACUCCCCCAGACUGUGGCAAUGCAGGAGCUCCACAGCCUCACCAGAGCCACGCUGUGCUUUGCCAUGCCACUGCCCUAAAGCUGCUCCCCAUCACUUCUCCCUGUGGCAAAGGAACAGACACACAGCUGCUUCUCCGUACCCAGACCCCUAUCAGGCUGCACUGCACUUCUAGGCAGCCUUUUCCUGACAUGCCCUGGGAGCUUGAAAGCCACUAGUCAUGCUGAGAGUCAGUAUGAGGGCCUUCUCACAUGAGAACAUAUAAGAGCUGAAAAAGAGAGGAUCUGUGUUUCUUUGACCAAAGGAGCACUGGCGGUGCGAAGGUGUGGGGGCACAGAGAGGCUGCGCGCUGCUGCUGGGGGUGUGGAGGGCUCUAUUCGAUACGCCCUACGAUUCCCUGUUCCACAAAAAUAUUCCAUGAUUCUAUGAACUAAUCUCCAUCGUCAGCUUCUCCAUAACCUCAGCUUUUGGCUGGUUGGAGGGACUGUGCUCAGGGGAUAGGAAGAGAUAGCAAUAAGGCAGCGUUAGCUUGGCUUUCAGGUGGUGACAGCGGCUGUAACUUGUUAUUAUCUCCACAUGACAAGCACUCCAAGACACCCCCACACCAAUCCUAUUAUGAAAAGCUAGAUUUCACAAAGCUGUUUUCCAACAUGUCAUACCCAGGUUUUGUGGCUUCCCCUGACAGUUUCACAAAGACAGGUCACAGCCGAGGAGCACAAGCCGGGGCCUGGCCUGGCCCACAGGCCCUUCCCACAGCCCCGCUCUCUGGCUUUCAUGGCGGCUGUUCCACCUGUCUGUCAUUCAGCAGCAGGUUGGCUCCUGGGGUCUUUACUGAGUGAGGGACAUGAGCAGGAGAUCCCAAAAUGAGACCUGUCCCUCCUGCUCCCCCUGCUCACAUGAGCCACCCUCCGUCACCCCGCAGGGCCUCGCUCGGUGCUGCCGGCAUCACCUGAAGAAAGCACGCAAGUUGCUUGUGAUCCUUCAGCAAAAUGCUCACAGUUACGGCAAGCAGAAGCCUAGGAGAUACAUCCCCAAAUUCACCCUUCUGUUCUUUAAAACUAGUGUUUAUUUGUGUUGCAGGUGAUGGCAGCCCCCAGUCUACCCUCACUCAUGUUUUCCCACGUGCCGAGAUGAAGCUUUGACACUCCUCUCCCUCUGCAGAGAGAGCACAGCGUUUACAUUUACAGGAACGGAGCUGUGCUUACAUAACGCUUCAGACAAUGCCAAGUCGAAUGACUGACAGAGGAAAAUCUUCUGUUAAAAAUAUAUUUUUCGUCUUUCCCAGA